UGGGGAAUCUUGCGCAAUGGGCGAAAGCCUGACGCAGCGACACCGCGUGGGGGACGAAGGCCUUUCAGGUCGUAAACCCCUUUCGGCAGGGACGAAGCGAUCUCGUGACGGUACCUGCAGAAGAAGCCUCGGCUAACUACGUGCCAGCAGCCGCGGUAACACGUAGGAGGCGAGCGUUGUCCGGAAUCAUUGGGCGUAAAGAGCGCGCAGGCGGCUUGGCAAGUCGGGUGUGAAAUCCCGGGGCUCAACCCCGGGCACUGCAUUCGAUACUGUCAGGCUAGAGGUAGGUAGGGGAGAUCGGAAUUCCUGGUGUAGCGGUGAAAUGCGCAGAUAUCAGGAGGAACACCGGUGGCGAAGGCGGAUCUCUGGGCCUUACCUGACGCUCAGGCGCGAAAGCUAGGGGAGCGAACAGGAUUAGAUACCC
rnacentral:rRNA from 1 species